AACGAACGCUGGCGGCAUGCCUAACACAUGCAAGUCGAACGAAGGCUUCGGCCUUAGUGGCGCACGGGUGCGUAACGCGUGGGAAUCUGCCCUUGGGUUCGGAAUAACUCAGAGAAAUUUGAGCUAAUACCGGAUGAUGACGUAAGUCCAAAGAUUUAUCGCCCAAGGAUGAGCCCGCGUAAGAUUAGCUAGUUGGUGGGGUAAAGGCCUACCAAGGCGACGAUCUUUAGCUGGUCUGAGAGGAUGAUCAGCCACACUGGGACUGAGACACGGCCCAGACUCCUACGGGAGGCAGCAGUGGGGGAAUAUUGGACAAUGGGCGGAAAGACCUGAUCCAGCAAUGCCGCGUGAGUGAUGAAGGCCUUAGGGUUGUAAAGACUCUUUUACCUAGGGAGUGAUAAUGACGGUACCGUGGAGGAAUAAAGCUCCGGCUAACUCCGUGCCAGCAGCCGCGGUAAGUGUCGAU
rnacentral:rRNA from 1 species